rnacentral:rRNA from 1 species
GAUGAACGCUGGCGGCGUGCCUAAUACAUGCCAGUCGAGCGAACAGACGAGGAGCUUGCUCCUCUGACGUUAGCGGCGGACGGGUGAGUAACACGUGGAUAACCUACCUAUAAGACUGGGAUAACUUCGGGAAACCGGAGCUAAUACCGGAUAAUAUAUUGAACCGCAUGGUUCAAUAGUGAAAGAGGGUUUUGCUGUCACUUAUAGAUGGAUCCGCGCCGCAUUAGCUAGUUGGUAAGGUAACGGCUUACCAAGGCGACGAUGCGUAGCCGACCUGAGAGGGUGAUCGGCCACACUGGAACUGAGACACGGUCCAGACUCCUACGGGAGGCAGCAGUAGGGAAUCUUCCGCAAUGGGCGAAAGCCUGACGGAGCAACGCCGCGUGAGUGAUGAAGGUCUUCGGAUCGUAAAACUCUGUUAUUAGGGAAGAACAAAUGUGUAAGUAACUAUGCACGUCUUGACGGUACCUAAUCAGAAAGCCACGGCUAACUACGUG